CUUGAAUGAAGAAGAUUAGGGCACUUUUGUUUUCUUGUGUACUCUUUGAUAUCUCUUUCAAAAGUUAUUCUAUCUGAUGAAUAGUGCCCCUUUAAAUAGCUUCCCACAUCCUUUCGACAAGCCCCAAUGGUUAGAUUUGAAAAACUAGCCGUUACUGACCUUGGGAAGGACAAAAAGUACAUCUGCAGAACUAGCCGUUAUGCUUCAGCCCGUGUUUGGGUCGGCUCAAC
rnacentral:lncRNA from 1 species